rnacentral:rRNA from 1 species
CCCUUAGAUGUUCUGGGCCGCACGCGCGCUACACUGACGCAGUCAGCGAGCAUGUCCUACGCCGAUAGGUGCGGGGAAUCUUGUGAAACUUCGUCGUGCUGGGGAUUGAUUAUUGAAAUUAUUGAUCAUCAACGAGGAAUUCCUAGUAAGCGCAAGUCAGCAGCUUGCGUUGAUUACGUCCCUGCCCUUUGUACACACCGCCCGUCGCUACUACCGAUUGAAUGGUUUAGUGAGAUCUUCGGAUUGGUGCCACCGAGUCCAGCAAUGGACACGGUGAAUAUCGAAAAGUCGAUCAAACUUGAUCAUUUAGAGGAAGUAAAAGUCGUAACA